rnacentral:sRNA from 2 species
UUCCGUAGGUGAACCUGCGGAGGGAUCAUUAAAGAGUUGCAAAACUCCCAAACCAUUGUGAACAUACCUUCAACGUUGCUUCGGCGGGUUGGCCCCGGUCUCCGGGGUCCCCGGCCCUACUCGGGCGCCCGCCGGAGGUAUCUAACUCUUGAACUUUUAUGGCCUCUCUGAGUCUUUGUACUUAAUAAGUCAAAACUUUCAACAACGGAUCUCUUGGUUCUGGCAUCGAUGAAGAACGCAGCGAAAUGCGAUAAGUAAUGUGAAUUGCAGAAUUCAGUGAAUCAUCGAAUCUUUGAACGCACAUUGCGCCCGCCAGUAUUCUGGCGGGCAUGCCUGUUCGAGCGUCAUUUCAACCAUCAAGCCCCCGGCUUGUGUUGGGGACCUGCGGCUGCCGCAGGCCCUGAAAACCAGUGGCGGGCUCGCUAGUCACUCCGAGCGUAGUAAUACAUCUCGCUCAGGGCGUGCUGCGGGUUCCGGCCGUUAAAAAGCCUUAUUUACCCAAGGUUGACCUCGGAUC